UACGUAGGGUGCAAGCGUUACUCGGAAUUACUGGGCGUAAAGCGUGCGCAGGCGGUUUUGUAAGUCUGUCGUGAAAUCCCCGGGCUUAACCUGGGAAUGGCGAUGGAGACUGCAAGGCUAGAGUUUGGCAGAGGGGGGUAGGAUUCCACGUGUAGCAGUGAAAUGCGUAGAGAUGUGGAGGAACACCGAUGGCGAAGGCAGCCCCCUGGGUCAAAACUGACGCUCAUGCACGAAAGCGUGGGGAGCAAACAGG
rnacentral:rRNA from 1 species